rnacentral:sRNA from 1 species
GUGGCUCUACCGGAACCCCUACGUGGAGGCGGAGUAUUUCCCCACCAAGCCGAUGUUUGUGCGUGGAGAAAGAUCGUCUCUCCUCCCUCCCCAUGACCGGGCUUCCCGCGGGCACCUCUGCCAGCCUUGCCCUGGCUCUGAAUGGCGUCUUUACCAACACAAUAAAACUGAUCGUAGGGAGGCCACGCCCAGAUUUCUUCUACCGCUGCUUCCCUGAUGGGCUAGCCCAUUCUGACUUGAUGUGUACAGGGGAUAAGGACGUGGUGAAUGAGGGCCGAAAGAGCUUCCCCAGUGGACAUUCUUCCUGUAUGAAUAUCAUAUGGACUCUACCCUAUGCUUGUUUUCACAUCAUUGAAUUUAACCUAGAAAGCUAGUAGGGAUGGGAAAAUCUG